CCCCCCCCCCCCCCCCCCCCCCCCCCCCCCCCCCCCCCCCCCCCCCCCCCCCCCCCCCCCCCUUCCGGGUUUGGUUUUUUUUUUUUUUUUUUGGGAUGGGGAAAGUGGGAAAAUCCUGUGGGAUGAAGGAGGGAAUUCCCAAUUUUUCCAGGACUCCUUUUCCUGGAAUUCCCAAUUUUCCCAGAGCUCCUUUCUCCAGAAUUCCCAAUUUUUCCAGAGCUCCUUUUUCCAGAAUUCCCAAUUUUCCCAGAGCUCCUUUUCAUGGAAUUCCCAAUUUUCCCAGGGCUCCUUUUCCCGGAAUUUGCCCCAGGAUCUCUCUGGGAUGUUCCAGGCCGGGGAUGUCUGGGGGGGGUUGGGAUCCUCCUGGAUCUACAUUCCCAAAUCUCUGUCCCAAAUUCCCAAAUUCCCAUCCCAAAAUCUGUCCCCAAUUCCCAAAAUUCCAUCCUGAAUUCCCAAACUCCAUCCCCAAUCCCAAACCUCCAUCUCCCAUCCCAAAAAUCUGUCCCUAAUUCCCAAAUUUCUCCCCACAUUCCCAAAUCCCCAAUUCCCAAAUCUCCAUUUCCAAAUCCCCGAAUCUCCAUUUCCAAAUUCCCAAAUCUCCAUUUCCAAAUUCCCAAAUCUCCAUUCCCCAAUCUCAAAUCUCCAUCUCCCAUCCCAAAAUCUGUCCCCCAUUCCCAAAUUUAUCCCCAAAUUUAUCCCCAAUCCCCAAAUCUCUGUUCCCAAUUCUCAGAUUCCCCUUCCCAAAUCCCAAUUCCCAAAUUUCUCCCCACAUUCCCAAAUCCCCAAUUCCCAAUCCCAAAUCCCCAUUCCCAAAUCCCCAAUUCCCAAUCCCAGAUUUCCCUUCCCAAAUUUCCAUUCCCAAUUCCCAGAUUUCCCUUCCCGAAUCUCAGUUCCCAAAUCCCGAUUCCCACAUUUCCCUUCCAAAAUUUUCCAUUCCCAAAUCCCGGUUCCCCAAAUUUCUCCCCACAUUCCCAAAUCCCAAAUUUCCCUUCCCAAAUCUCCAUCCCCAAAUCCCCACAUCCCCAAACCUCCCUCCCCGAUCCCAUUUGGAUUUUUCCCACCCCGGAAUUUCUUUUUUUCCCUUGGGAAUUCUGACCUUUCCCGCCCUUAUUGCUCUGGAAAACGGCUUCGAUUUGGGAAUCCCCAAAAAACCAAAAAAACAAAACAAAAAAAAAAUCCAAACCCCAAAAUCCCCAAAUCCCACGGAUUCUUCAAAAUCCCAUCAAAAGAGGAAGGGAAAAAAACCAAACCCCCCCCCCCCCCCCCCCCCCCCCCCCCCCCCCCCCCCCCCCCCCCCCCCCCCCCCCCCCCCCCCC
rnacentral:lncRNA from 12 species